rnacentral:rRNA from 1 species
AGUGAACGCUGGCGGUAGGCCUAACACAUGCAAGUCGAACGGCAGCACAGUAAGAGCUUGCUCUUACGGGUGGCGAGUGGCGGACGGGUGAGGAAUACAUCGGAAUCUACUUUUUCGUGGGGGAUAACGUAGGGAAACUUACGCUAAUACCGCAUACGACCUACGGGUGAAAGCAGGGGAUCUUCGGACCUUGCGCGAUUGAAUGAGCCGCUGUCGGAUUAGCUAGUUGGCGGGGUAAAGGCCCACCAAGGCGCCGAUCCGUAGCUGGUCUGAGAGGAUGAUCAGCGACACUGGAACUGAGACACGGUCCAGACUCCUACGGGAGGCAGCAGUGGGGAAUAUUGGACAAUGGGCGCAAGCCUGAUCCAGCCAUACCGCGUGGGUGAAGAAGGCCUUCGGGUUGUAAAGCCCUUUUGUUGGGAAAGAAAAGCAGCAGGUUAAUACCCCGCUGUUCUGACGGUACCCAAAGAAGAAGCACCGGCUAACUUCGUG